CCUCUGUUGUAAAAUAAUGAGAACUAAUAACACUUUUAUAUACCUUGUAGGGAUUCAGCGAGAAUGAAAGCCCUUUUCCUCUUUCAUGGAUAAGAUGCUACAACUCAAUCUUGUCAUCUCUGCUCACCCGUCAGGAGAAAGUGUGGUGAAAUGGACAGAGGCUGUCUCUUAAUUCCACAAAAUCCUGGAACUGUAUUACAGUAUAUAGCAACACCACUGAAGCAUUUGAGCUACUGAAAGUCCAUGCGUGUUUCAAACAACAAUAUUUGGAGAAAGAUUCAAGAAUCACAAGCCAGGGUAAAGGAUCAUCGCUGAGAAAACAGUGCGCAGACCCGAUGCAAACCAGAGCAAGAUUCUUCCUCUUUCUGUCUUCCAGUCUCUCUGGCGCCUCCUGUUGAAGGCUGGAGAUAAAACAGAAACCUGACCUGGAGGAUCAUAACCCCAGCACCACAAAGAAGAGGGGGAAUUUUUGGGUAGGAUAUAAUAGCUUAAUCAUUAACAUCAUUGGGGAAAUUGGAGCCUUGACUUUAUAUAUGACCAGGAGAAUUUACAAAGACACCUUAGGAGUUAAAAGAUAUUGUAGUACAAAGUUGUUUGAAUACCACGGAAGCCUGACACAUUGAAUAAAAUGAUUUCAAACAAAAUAAUGUAGGUAAAUCACUGCAGAAUUAUAAAGUGCCAUGCAAGUGUACAAAAUUAGUGUUGUUAUUGUUGGUACUAUAAUUUCACUCUUAACUAUAAUAGAUAUUUGAUCAAAGAAACUUUAUAAAGGCUAAAAUAGUUGUGAGAUAAAUUAUGGAAAGAUGUUUACCAAGUUUAGAU
rnacentral:lncRNA from 1 species